rnacentral:rRNA from 1 species
CAUCCUCCAAGGCUAAAUACUCCUGACUGACCGAUAGUGAACCAGUACCGUGAGGGAAAGGCGAAAAGAACCCCGGCGAGGGGAGUGAAAAAGAACCUGAAACCGUGUACGUACAAGCAGUGGGAGCCCCACCACCAAAGCAUUCUCUGGUGUUGAAGGCCCUGCAAAGCAGCAUCGCGGUGGCGGAGCGUCGUUUGCGACGCCCAACACACAAAACAAGCGGUGAGUGCUUUGGGGUGGGGUGACUGCGUACCUUUUGUAUAAUGGGUCAGCGACUUAUAUUCUGUAGCAAGGUUAACCGUAUAGGGGAGCCGUAGGGAAACCGAGUCUUAACCGGGCGUUAAGUUGCAGGGUAUAGACCCGAAACCCGGUGAUCUAGCCAUGGGCAGGUUGAAGGUUGGGUAACACUAACUGGAGGACCGAACCGACUAAUGUUGAAAAAUUAGCGGAUGACCUGUGGCUGGGGGUGAAAGGCCAAUCAAACCGGGAGAUAGCUGGUUCUCCCCGAAAGCUAUUUAGGUAGCGCCUCGUGAACUCAUCUCCGGGGGUAGAGCACUGUUUCGGCUAGGGGGCCAUCCCGACUUACCAACCCGAUGCAAACUGCGAAUACCGAAGAAUGUUAUCACGGGAGACACACGGCGGGUGCUAACGUCCGUCGUGAAGAGGGAAACAACCCAGACCGCCAGCUAAGGUCCCAAAGUCAUGGUUAAGUGGGAAACGAUGUGGGAAGGCCCAGACAGCCAGGAUGUUGGCUUAGAAGCAGCCAUCAUUUAAAGAAAGCGUAAUAGCUCACUGGUCGAGUCGGCCUGCGCGGAAGAUGUAACGGGGCUAAACCAUGCACCGAAGCUGCGGCAGCGACGCUGAUGCGUUGUUGGGUAGGGGAGCGUUCUGUAAGCCUGUGAAGGUGGCCUGUGAGGGUUGCUGGAGGUAUCAGAAGUGCGAAUGCUGACAUAAGUAACGAUAAUGCGGGUGAAAAGCCCGCUCGCCGGAAGACCAAGGGUUCCUGUCCAACGUUAAUCGGGGCAGGGUGAGUCGACCCCUAAGGCGAGGCCGAAAGGCGUAGUCGAUGGGAAACGGGUUAAUAUUCCCGUA